GACGAACGCUGGCGGCGUGCUUAACACAUGCAAGUCGAACGGAAAGGCCCUGCUUUUGUGGGGUGCUCGAGUGGCGAACGGGUGAGUAACACGUGAGUAACCUGCCCUUGACUUUGGGAUAACUUCAGGAAACUGGGGCUAAUACCGGAUAGGAGCUCCUGCUGCAUGGUGGGGGUUGGAAAGUUUCGGCGGUUGGGGGUGGACUCGCGGCUUCUCAGCUUGUUGGUGGGGUAGUGGCUUACCAAGGCUUUGACGGGUAGCCGGCCUGAGAGGGUGACGGGCCACAUUGGGACUGAGAUACGGCCCAGACUCCUACGGGGGGCAGCAGUGGGGAAUAGUGCAAAAUGGGCGGAAGCCUGAUGCAGCAACGCCGCGUGCGAGAUGACGGCCUGCGGGUUGUAAACCGCUUUCGCCUGUGACGAAGCGUGAGUGACGGUAAUGGGUAAAGAAGCACCGGCUAACUACGUG
rnacentral:rRNA from 1 species